UCAUGAGUUCAAAUCCUGUGUUGGGCUCCACACUGGGAGUGGAGCCUACUUAAAACAAACCCACCAGGAAUUGCUAUAUCAUGGGUUACGUGCCUUUUAGAUUCUAGACACUAGUAAACAGAGUGUAGAAUGUGAUAAAUGUUUAGCAACUAGUCUUCUAAAAAGGGGGAUAAGGACUGAAUUGUAGCAUUUGCUCAUUUCCAUUGUGUAAGUUCUCCCGCCAUGGCUGAUUUCAAACUACUAAAGUGACAUUAGUACACUUGGAAUUGGGAAGAGAUAUGUACAAUCAGUUCUUGCAAGCUGGUGUGAGUCUAGCAUAGUUCCCAGAAUCCCUCAAACUCAGGAUGCAAAGAGGUAUUGGCAAAUAGCCCUCUAAAGUAGCCCAACCAACUUAACUUUCACAAGCAGUAUUGGUGAAUGGUAAGUAAA